rnacentral:lncRNA from 1 species
UGGGAGCGGCUCCAGAGAAGACAAGACGAAAUAAAUAAAUAAAUAAUAAAAUUAAUCAUAGUAAAAUACAUACAUCAUAAAAUUUAGCAAUUUGUCAUAAAUUUUGACCGUUUUGAAGCAUAGAGUUCAGGAAGGUGCAUGUGCACGCACACACGCACACAGUCACACACUCACACACUCGUGUUGUUGUGCAGGUCGUCUUAGAUACCUUUUUAACUGAAGCAUAACUACUCCAAAAACGUGCUCAAAUCGUGGAGACAGAGCUCGGUGCCUCCUCAGAGUGGACCUUCCUGGAUCAUCCAGUCCAGAUCGGAAGAGAAUCUAAUUCACGCACCAUUUGGUUUGGGAAGAAAGACCUGUGGAAGAGGCGGGGCUUUCAGCUGGAGCCUUUCUCCCAAUCCUCCCGAGCUCGCCCAAGGCUCCCCACCCACACUGGGUGGGAAAACCAUCUAGCGAGAGUUUCACCGCUCAUUUCGCAAAUGGUAAGUUCCUUCCGCCUGGUUUGCUCUGUCCUGUGUCCACGGACCCUCUCGGCCCCCGGGCCUGAUCGAGGGUCUCUAACCCUGUCAGAUGCUCCCUCUCCGU